CUUCUUUUUACAAUGAACCCCGUCAAAUUUAGGGUUAAACUGACGAUAGAGUUUAAUGAAGCACACUAAUACGUUUCAUUAGCCAGUGUGAAUCCGCACCGUCGAUUCCUGUUAUGUUUUACUCAGCUUUUUCUACGAACCACAAUGAAGAUUAGUCAUGUCACUUUUUGGUAUUAUCCUUGAUGUGAGUAUGUAAGGUAUGAAUCCAUACCGCUGCAUUGGCCCCGGCUGUGAAUAGAAGGAAGUUCAGGGAAAAGCUUUCAGGAUCAACAUCUCCUGGGAUCAGCGGAAUACAUCCGCCGCGCACCACACAUUGUUCUGCCUGUGUGGAAUCAACUCCUCUCUAACAAGAUUCCCGGGCGCCAUUCAUCCGUCGGCCAAACAGCCACAUGCGCGCGGACGCUGGACUCCGAUCCGUUUCCCGAGCAGCUGGAUCUCACUGGUUCACCCGCCAGAAGCUCGCUUCCCGUUCCUCCGUCUCCCGCCGGAACCAAUUUGUCCAUCACCCCUGGGCGCGGAGACCGUUAGCUACGUAAUUAGUCUGUACCGGGCAUUACCGUCAUGUGACAAAAACAUGACCUUAUCCGGGACGGCCUGGUCGACACCGAAGGAGGAGCGGAGGGAGAUGGAAGGCGCGCCGAGAGGAGGGAAUAAGAAAAAGCAACGUGGUCAUACGUGGAGAAACAAGGCACCCCAGAGGGAUUGCAGAAGGUACAGCGCAUCCCGCUGGCUACAGACUGAGAGGUACGAACCAUCGGGAGGAAACGACGGCGCUUCCUAUGCCAAGCGUCUGUGAGUCUGAUCUGGAAACAAGCGGCGUGCUGUGCUGUGCAGCUCCGGGGGUCAGAUCCGGCCCUCCGUGAUUGGCAGCUCCGCUUCCGUCCACAGUGACAGCAAUGACAGGACGCCGUCGAGCAACACCUACCAUCUUAUUAAAGUCUGCGCGGGUGACAUGCGUCCGCGCGGGCGCCGCAUGUGUGUUCUGUUAGUGUAAGAGUGGGCCGGAACGCAUCCUGUGACUCACCAGAGCGAGAGUGGAAAAGGUUAAUAACCCUUAUUCAUUUUGGAUUAAAUAUGCUGC
ensembl:lncRNA